UACGUAGGGGGCAAGCGUUGUCCGGAUUUAUUGGGCGUAAAGAGCGUGUAGGCGGCCGCACAGGUCCGUUGUGAAAACUGGAGGCUUAACCUUCAGACGUCGACCGAAACCAUCUGGCUAGAGUCCGGAAGAGGAGAGUGGAAUUCCUGGUGUAGCGGUGAAAUGCGCAGAUAUCAGGAAGAACACCCGUGGCGAAGGCGGCUCUCUGGGACGGUACUGACGCUGAGACGCGAAAGCGUGGGGAGCGAACAGG
rnacentral:rRNA from 1 species